UUUCAAAUUGUCGUUCCUUGUUCGCUUUUCUACUCGCCAGAGUAAAAAGGAGAUUCCUCGAAAACGAUUCUCGCGGUCGGUGUUGGAUUUCGAACGAACCUGUGUUUAGUAGAAAUAUACCGUGUGCCUAUACAUAGAAGAGGAUCAAUUCAUGAUUGACGAUUUUCACACGUCGGAGUGAAAAAAAAGAUUCUUCGAGAAGGCUUCUCACGACCGAUGAUGAAUUUUUGAACGAGUUCAAUCGAAUUUCUGACCUGUUUGAUGGAAAUAUACUGUGACGGAGGAUUUUAUACAUUUUAGAAAAAGGCUAGUUUUGGUCAACAAUUUAUUUGUUAAUAUCUCUUUGUUAACACUCAGCCAACCGAAUUGGGAGAUCUGCCCUCUGUGAACAACAUCGCUGCGUGGCCGAAGGGGGAGAUGUUCCUUUUUUGAUUUUAGCAACGCGUUUUCCUUUUUUGUUUUUUUUGUUAUUAUUAUCAGUUAUUGUUUAGCUGGAAUUGUUGCCAAUUAAUUGUGCCACUUUCACUGUUUUUAUAAAGUACAGCAAUUUAGUGGUGUUAAAAUUAAUUAAGAAGUUAAACUAUCAGUUAUGGCUAAAUAAAGUUGUAAUCGAACGAUAUCACACUGUAAAAUAAUAUUAAAAUGCAUUGUGAAUUUUUAAUUUUUAA